UUCGCAAUGCCCGAAAGGGUGACGAAGCGACGCCGCGUGUGGGAAGAAGGCCUUCGGGUUGUAAACCGCUGUCGGGAGUUAAGAAAUGCAAGGAUAUUAAUAGUGUCUUUGUUUGACUAAGGCUCCGGAGGAAGCCACGGCUAACUCUGUGCCAGCAGCCGCGGUAAUACAGAGGCGGCAAGCGUUGUUCGGAAUUAUUAUGGGCGUAAAGAGCACGUAGGCGGCUAUGUAAGUCGGUUGUGAAAGCCUUCCGCUCAACGGAAGAACAGCAUCCGAUACUAUAUGGCUUGAGUGCGGGAGGGGAGAGUGGAACUUCUGGUGGAGCGGUGAAAUGCGUAGAUAUCAGAAGGAACGCCGGCGGCGAAAGCGGCUCUCUGGCCCAUAACUGACGCUGAGUGUGCGAAAGCUAGGGGAGCAAACGGGAUUAGAUACCCCGGUAGUCCUAGCCGUAAACGAUGGGCACUAAGUAGAGGGGUUA
rnacentral:rRNA from 1 species